rnacentral:lncRNA from 1 species
AGCCGAAGACAUACACAUACUUUGGUUAGAAUUAUGAGACAAAGAUUGAGGGAAAUUUGUGGAGUAAGAUCUAGAAAGACUUGAACAAAAAAAAAAAAAACUCUUAAGAAAAAACAGAGUACUUGAAACCAUGGUAUAAAAAAUCGAUAAUAUCGGCGAUAUUUCGCCCAUAUUAUCUUUUUUUUUGGAGUCCGAUAUUUCUACACAUAUCCGAUUGGUUUUCGUAAAAAUAUCGCGAUAUCGACGGAUAGAGCUGAUACGUUUUGGUCAAAAACGGCGUCGGAAGCGAUCUUUGCGAAUCUCCUCCGCCUCCACUGCUUCCAGUAGGCGCCGAGUCGCCGUUCUGCUCGGCCGGCAAUGAGGACAUGGUUUUUUGGCCUUUGGCUUCUCGGAUCUGAGCUCUAAUAGCAACUGAUAUACCAAAAAUCCGUUCAACAAAUAAAUAAAUAAAAAACGUUAUUUUAUUUAAUUAAAAUGAUUUAACGCUCCGUUUGGUUGCCGAGAAACCGCGGAGGAUUAGAAAACAAAAAUUUCUAGAGAUAUGAAAUUUUACUUCCUAUUAUUUUUUGUGUAAUUAGAUUUCUAGGUAUUGGAAAUGGAAAAUUCAAUAUAAAAAAUGGAAUUAAAUCAAGGAGCCGGCGUGUAUUACCUGGAAAGCGUGGAUUUAAGGGUUUGGGGAUGAACAGAGAGUAGGGAUUUUCCCACCAACCAAACAGAAAAGUUGGAUUGGACAUGAAAGCAGACGAGAUCUCCCACCAACCAAACAGAAAAGUUGGAUUGGAGACGAAAGCCAACUCGAUCGAUCUCGUCUGCUGCUGGUCUUGCUGCAGCAGGCAGUACCGGAAGCAGCAGCUCAGAGAGAGGGAGAGACGAGAGAGAAGAGGGUGAUGAUUUCGAUUUUGUUGUUUCUAAAAGGUUCUGGAGGAGGAGUUAAUGGUAGGACUGUAGGAGGGAGAUGGAAAAAGGGUGUAUUUGUGGGUUCGAGAAGGUAAGGGACA